rnacentral:lncRNA from 10 species
ACAUGAGAUGCUCUCUUCAGUCCGGGGCUUGGUUGAACGGACUCACCAGGAAACGUGACUUUCGUGUCCGACCUCUGCUGUAUCAGGAUUCGAUUCUUGGUGUUAAACAAGACAACGCUGAAGGCUCGGUGCAGCAGCCCUGCAAAGGAGUGGAGCCCCAACCCACGCAGGGCGUGUCUUCAUGGCUUUUCCUGGCCAAUCUGAUACCAAGAUGCAGUGGCCAGAAGUACCUGCACUUCCACUCCUGUCAAGUCUCUGCAUGGCUAUGGUGAGGAAGAGCUCUGCACUGGGCAAGGAAGUUGGCCGUCGAGUGAAGGAAAUGGUGAUGCUGGUGGCCCCUUUCCGGCAGUCAAGUUCCCUAUCAAGGACAUUCAGUUCUCGGAAAGUGGUGAAGGCACAUGCUUCCCUGCAUGGUGCCCGCCUCUCUCCACUCUCUAGAAAUAUUAGAGGCUAGGCUGCUGCUGUAUGUCAGGGCUAGUCCCUCUUCUAUGAAUCCAGAAUAACUCUGAAGAAGCCGAGUAACAGGCAUGAAGUGAAGAGAAAUCGCUGUAACAGGAAGACAGCAAAGCAGAUGCUAAUGACCACACUAUUUAACGAACUGGAACCAACGAGAAAAUACGGUAUUACUGAAGACUGCACUUCCUUGAACAGAGUGCUCUUCUCAGCAAAUCGGAAAUGCCUACACAAAUCGCUUUACAAGAAAGACUGUUUCAAAGCAGCACCUUUCUCAAUGUUCUCGUUCAGGUGACAAUUCUUCUUGGUCUCAGCUCCAAUUUUAUUGUCAUUUUCAUCAAUAAGGAUACACAUCUCUGCCAGGAGUUGAACCUGUUGCUUGUCGAGGUGGUUAGUGUUUAUUUCAGGCAUCAUUACAAAAUGUCUGAUCUGUUCUAGAACACUAAUAUUAAAGGAAAAGAGAAAGAAA